AUUCAGCUGACGAGUCCCAAAUAGAACUCAAGGCGCAUCCUGGAU
rnacentral:hammerhead_ribozyme from 1 species